GACGAACGCUGGCGGCGUGCUUAACACAUGCAAGUCGAACGGAAAGGCCCUGCUCUUGCGGGGUGCUCGAGUGGCGAACGGGUGAGUAACACGUGAGUAACCUGCCCUUGACUUUGGGAUAACUUCAGGAAACUGGGGCUAAUACCGGAUAGGAGCUCCUGCUGCAUGGUGGGGGUUGGAAAGUUUCGGCGGUUGGGGAUGGACUCGCGGCUUAUCAGCUUGUUGGUGGGGUAGUGGCUUACCAAGGCUUUGACGGGUAGCCGGCCUGGGAGGGUGACCGGCCACAUUGGGACUGAGGUACGCACCAGACUCCAACGGGCGGCAGCGGUGGAGAAUAUUACACAAUGGGCGGAAGCCUGAUGCAACAACGCCGCGAGCGUAAUGAUGGCCUUCGGGUUGUAAACCGCUUUCGCCUGUGACGAAGCGUGAGUGACGGUAAUGGGUAAAGAAGCACCGGCUAACUACGUG
rnacentral:rRNA from 1 species